rnacentral:tRNA from 1 species
UCCCAGAUGGCUCAGUGGUAAAGAAUCUGCCUGCCAAUGCAGGAGACACAGGUUCAAUCCCUGAUCUGGGAA